CGCAAUAAUUUCGUUAAACAAUGUCUCGUUUGACUUUUAACCACGUACACAGAUGCCAUAAAUGCAUUGGGUUCACUUCGUUAUAAGUCGGUCAUGUCACGCGGAAGGACCAUCAUGAAAAUUUGCAGGUUUCAGGCAGACACAGUUGGGGGAUAUUAACGUCAUUUCGAAAUGUAAAUUCAAGAAUUCAUUUGCUUGGAAUUGAACAUGUUCGAUGAGGUUUGUACAAUACUGGUAAAUUGGCUAGACCUCGACAACCCAAAACGAUUUGAAAUUUUAUUUACCUGAAGGAAACUACUAAUUUUGCUCCUGCUAUGAGAAAUCCAAACACUGCAUUG